AGCACUGUGAUCCAUGAUGGCACAUGGCAUGUGCGCCUGCAUGGAGGUCCUCUCUCUUUCACUGCCAGGCCUCUGGGCAGCCCUAGCCAUCACCCUUGCCUGUGCAUUGAGCCUGUGAUGUUUUUGAGGCCCAACUGGAGGGCCAAGGGGGCCUAUUAAGGGAGAUGGUUAACAAUCCCCUACUCAAAAUUACCCUCCUCCUUAAAUCUUACUAGAAAAGCUGAGAGGGGAAGGAAAAAGGGGGAGAGAUGGAGAGAGAGAGAGAGAGAGAAAGUAAUAAAACUCAGAGCCCAACCCUAAGCCCCGUUGAAGGAGGUGAUAUAAAUAGAGUUGCCGUCACUUUGAUGAAUUAAAUCCUUCGUUAAUUAGGAUACAUCGAUUUAAGGGUUGUCCAAGCAGAUAGUCCUUUCCCCCUUCCCAGCAAGUUCUAGCAGAGGGACGACAUGGGCAGGGGAGUGCUUUCUCUGUGUCUUGCCUGAUUGCUAGUUUCUUCCCGACCAGGCUUCAUUAAUUAUCCCAGAACAUGGUCACCCAGUUUUCUCUAAUAUGUGCCAUCUUUCUUUCAAGCUGGAUCUUGGCCUUGUACUACAAAGGUGCUGUCUGGAUGAAGGAUGAGUUGAGCCCCACUACAUCUUGAAAUGCCCCACCCAGGGUCAUGCCUAGCUCUGAGUUGACUCAACAGCAAGCAGACUCUUUCUGCUGUACUUUGUCGUCGGGAGUCCCCGACAUGAGCAUGGACAGCCUUUUUCUGGUAGCUAUCCCUGGUCUGGUGGGCUGAGGGCUACCCUUGUGAACCACACCUUAUACCUAGGGCCAAGCCACUUUUGG
rnacentral:lncRNA from 1 species